rnacentral:rRNA from 1 species
GACGAACGCUGGCGGCGUGCUUAACACAUGCAAGUCGAACGGAAAGGCCCUGCUUUUGUGGGGUGCUCGAGUGGCGAACGGGUGAGUAACACGUGAGUAACCUGCCCUUGACUUUGGGAUAACUUCAGGAAACUGGGGCUAAUACCGGAUAUGAGCUCCUGCUGCAUGGUGGGGGUUGGAAAGUUUCGGCGGUUGGGGAUGGACUCGCGGCUUAUCAGCUUGUUGGUGGGGUAGUGGCUUACCAAGGCUUUGACGGGUAGCCGGCCUGAGAGGGUGACCGGCCAAAUUGGGACGGAGAUACGGCACAGACUCCUACGGGAGGCAGCAGUGCAGAAUAUUGCACAAUGGGCGGAAGCAUGAUGCAGCAACGCCGCGUGCGGGAUGACGGCCUUCGGGUUGUAAACCGCUUUCGCCUGUGACGAAGCGUGAGUGACGGUAAUGGGUAAAGAAGCACCGGCUAACUACGUG